GUUGAAGAAAGCGAGAGGAGAGUAGUGCUCGCUUUGGGCAGUGUCAAUGGUGCCCCGGCUCCCUCCUUCUUUCCUUCCUUGCCCGUCAGUGCCCGUGCCCUUUUCUAUGGAUUCGAAGUGACCGACCUUCUCUGGAAAAAAUAUGGCUAGAUGAAAAAUACACAGUCCCACUUAUUGCCAUUAUCUGAGCUAUUUGUAAGAUCGUCGUGACGUCCAAGCGAAACAAGGCUUCAUCAGGCUAUUCAGUGGCGGUCGCAUCAAGAGAGAGAGAGGCUGUGUCAUCCCCGGGAAGCGUGGGGAGCCUCGCUACAUGCUGUAAAGGAGCGAUCACAGUUUGAGCCUCCGUCUGGUGUUGUUCGGGUAAUGUGAAGUUG